ensembl:snoRNA LOC120097242 small nucleolar RNA SNORA17
AUUGCCCUUAGAGGUGUUACAGAUGUGGAUGCUGUGUCACAUGUGUGACAGUUGGCGGUAGAGAGGAAACGGGUUAUUUCUAUGCUCAGUGUUCUGUUCUAUAAAUAUCUGUAUGAUUAUUAGCCUAACAUU